CUCAGUUUCCCAGCUGGUGCCGGUCCAUCCUUCCCUGGAGGCAGCGGGGACAUACGCGCGUGUGUGUGUGGUGCCAAGUGCCCCAGAAGGAAGGAACAGACCAGGGCAAUUUCGAGUGAUCCUCCCCUCUCACCCAGUCCCAGCUUCCUGCAGCCAGAGGCCUAGGGACACCGGACCAGGAGGCUACGUCCCGAACAUCCUGGCUAAUAGCCAUUGAGGCACCUGGCCUGCAGGAACGUUCGG